AUGCUCAUCACCAACCCGGAGCGCGUCCGGGCAAUGGUGGCACGUGCCGAAAGAUUGGGUGUGCCCCGUGGCUCUGGGAUGCUCAGGCAAGCGCUGCAGGCUGUCGCGUUUCUCAGCGAGGAGAAGGUUGCCGCCAAAUUGGACUACUUGAAGAAUACUUUCAGGUGGUCUGAUGCCCAAGUGAGCAUUGCUGUGCGCAAGUAUCCGGGUGUGCUGAGGAAGUCAAAGGGACCUCUGAAGCGCAGGUCCGAGUUCCUGUGCUCUAAGGUGGGGCUGGAACCCAUGUACAUUGCUCAUCGAUCGGAAAUACUUUCAUAUAGUAUGGAGGGCCGACUCAGACCUCGGUACUAUGUUAUCAAGUUUCUCAAGCAAAAUGGACUGCUAGACCGUGACUUGAGCUUAUAUUCUGCGGUCAAGAUGACUGAGAAGGUAUUUGUGGAGAAGCUCAUAUGCCCUCACAAGGAAGCCGCACCACACCUUGCUGAAGAUUAUGCAGCAGCUUGCAAAGGGGAAGUGCCUACUAAUUUCAGAUUUACAUGA
rnacentral:rRNA from 1 species